UCAAUGUUUUUAACCUUACAAAACCUACCGCUACCUUAAAAAACCUCCUCCAAGCAAAGGCUUAAUCGCAAAUCUUUUCAGAGAAAGAGCUAAAACUCAAGUUUCUAGUAUCUCCGAUUCUAUGAAGAUCACACGAAGAAACCUCGUGCCGGACGGCCCCGGUAGUGUCAAGAUGACGCCAGUCGAUUCAGAUGAUCUUUGGUUCGUUUAUAAUUUGAUAUCUCCGGGUGAUUCGGUUAUGGCGGAUACUGUCAGGAAAGUUUUGAGAGAGGCGGCGUCCGGUGGGAGAGAUGCUGAAAGAGUGAGGCUGAAGUUGGAAAUAAAAGUUGAGACUGUAGAUUAUGAUAAAGUUGGGGCUGCCUUGCGAAUUCGCGGAAAGAAUAUUUUGGAGAAUGAAUAUGUAAAGAUUGGAGCAUUUCACACUUUAGAGUUAGAGCUGCAACGCCCUUUUGUUUUGAGAAAGGAAGUUUGGGACUCAAUGGCAUUAGAUGUACUCAAUCAAGCCUCUGAUCCCGGUGCAAGUGCUGAUCUUGCUGUGGUUUUAAUGCAAGAAGGACUUGCACACAUCUUACUUGUCGGUAAAAGCGUGACAACUACUCGAUCAAGGAUAGAGACUUCAAUUCCUCGAAAGCAUGGCCCUGCCAUUGCUGGUUAUGAAUCGGCAUUGAAUAAGUUCUUUGAGCAUGUUUUACAGGCUUUCCUAAAGCAUAUUGAUUUCAGUGUCAUUCGGUGUGCGGUGAUUGCAAGCCCUGGUUUCACUAAGGAUCAGUUUCAUCGUCACUUAUUGUUGGAGGCAGAGAGGAGACAGCUGAGACCCAUUAUUGAGAACAAGUCACGCAUAGUGCUCGUGCAUACAAGCUCAGGAUAUAAGCAUAGCUUGAGGGAGGUUCUUGAUGCCCCAAAUGUUAUGAACAUGAUUAAAGACACUAAGGCAGCACAAGAGGUUCGAGCACUCGAGGAUUUCUUUAACAUGCUUUCAAAUGUCAGGAUCCAGCUCGUGCAUGCUAUGGACCAAAGCAUGUAGAGGUUGCCCAUGAACGCAUGGCUGUCCAAACUCUUCUCAUCACAGAUGAUCUUUUCAGAAAUGCCGAUAUACCAACGAGGCAGAAGUACAUCAAUCUAGUCAACUCAGUGAAGGGUUCAGGGGGCACUGCUCAUAUAUUUUCAUCAAUGCAUGUCUCAGGGGAGCAAUUGGCGCAAUUGACCGGCAUUGCUGCCAUACUUCGAUUUCCGCUGCCAGACCUGGAAGACAUUGAGAUGUAAAUGCACAGAGCUUGCUUUGGUGUAGUGGACUGGGACUGGGACUGGGACGAGGAUGUGCCGUGGAAGGAUUGGUCUAUAUACUAAUUCUGCCUGUUGCCAUCAGCAUGUUGUACUAUAUUUAACAGAUGCAUUAAUAUUAUACCCAAUGCAGAUAAAUUUUACCAAAAUAAUUUGUGGGUAGAUUGAUUCAUUAAUAAACUAGGGCAUUUGUACAACAGCCUGCCCCCCCUCCUAAUUAUUUCCUCUCCCCUUGUUUAAAUUUGUCUGCUAAGGUGAUAGGCCGACGUUGUAUAUGUGAAGGGGUGGUGGUCGUUAAUAUUUUAAAAUUUACAUAAUUUUUUCUGUUUCUAA